GACGAACGCUGGCGGCGUGCCUAAUACAUGCAAGUAGAACGCACAGUUUAUACCGUAGCUUGCUACACCAUAGACUGUGAGUUGCGAACGGGUGAGUAACGCGUAGGUAACCUGCCUGGUAGCGGGGGAUAACUAUUGGAAACGAUAGCUAAUACCGCAUAAUAUUGAUUAUUGCAUGAUAAUUGAUUGAAAGAUGCUAUUGCAUCACUACCAGAUGGACCUGCGUUGUAUUAGCUAGUAGGUGAGGUAACGGCUCACCUAGGCGACGAUACAUAGCCGACCGGAGAGGGUGAUAGGCCACACUGGGACUGAGACACGGCCCAGACUCCUACGGGAGGCAGCAGUAGGGAAUCUUCGGCAAUGGACGAAAGUCUGACCGAGCAACGCCGCGUGAGUGAAGAAGGGUUUCGGAUCGUAAAGCUCUGUUGUAAGAGAAGAACGGGUGUGAGAGUGGAAAGUUCACACUGUGACGGUAUCUUACCAGAAAGGGACGGCUAACUACGUG
rnacentral:rRNA from 1 species